rnacentral:rRNA from 1 species
AUUGAACGCUGGCGGCACGCCUAACACAUGCAAGUCGAACGAGUGGCGGACGGGUGAGUAAUGCUUGGGAAACUGCCUGAUGGAGGGGGAUAACUACUGGAAACGGUAGCUAAUACCGCAUACCAUCGGAUGUGCCCAGGUGUGAUUAGCUAGUUGGUGGGGUAAAGGCUCACCUAGCCGACGAUCCCUAGCUGGUCUGAGAGUAUGAACAGCCACACUGGAAGUGAGACACGGUCCAGACUCCUACGGGAGGCAGCAGUGGGGAAUAUUGCGCAAUGGGGGCAAGCCUGAUGCAGCCAUGCCGCGUGUAUGAAGAAGGCCUUCGGGUUGUAAAGUCCUUUCGGCGGGGAGGCGUUACCCGCAGAAGAAGCACCGGCUAACUCCGUGCCAGCAGCCGCGGUAAUUC